CCUACGGGAGGCAGCAGUGGGGAAUAUUGCACAAUGGGGGAAACCCUGAUGCAGCGACGCCGCGUGAGUGAAGAAGUAUUUCGGUACGUAAAGCUCUAUCAGCAGGGAAGAAAUUGACGGUACCUGACUAAGAAGCCCCGGCUAACUACGUGCCAGCAGCCGCGGUAAUACGUAGGGGGCAAGCGUUAUCCGGAUUUACUGGGUGUAAAGGGAGCGUAGACGGCAGCGCAAGUCUGGAGUGAAAUCCCAUGGCUUAACCAUGGAACUGCUUUGGAAACUGUGCAGCUAGAGUGCAGGAGAGGUAAGCGGAAUUCCUAGUGUAGCGGUGAAAUGCGUAGAUAUUAGGAGGAACACCAGUGGCGAAGGCGGCUUACUGGACUGUAACUGACGUUGAGGCUCGAAAGCGUGGGGAGCAAACAGGAUUAGAUACCCCUGUAGUC
rnacentral:rRNA from 1 species